UACGUAGGGCGCAAGCGUUGUCCGGAAUUAUUGGGCGUAAAGAGCUCGUAGGCGGUCUGUUGCGUCGGCUGUGAAAACCCGGGGCUCAACCCCGGGCCUGCAGCCGAUACGGGCAGACUAGAGUUCGGCAGGGGAGACUGGAAUUCCUGGUGUAGCGGUGAAAUGCGCAGAUAUCAGGAGGAACACCGGUGGCGAAGGCGGAUCUCUGGGCCUUACCUGACGCUCAGGCGCGAAAGCUAGGGGAGCGAACAGG
rnacentral:rRNA from 1 species